AAUGCGGGGAUGACCUGAUAUGUAGGACAAAUUAGAAAAAAAAGUCUCAAUAUAUAUUGUAAAUAGGAAUUCAUGUGAGAAAGGAAGGAAGAAUAUAGUAAAUCAUGCAAAUUCGAGAGUUGAAUUUAACUUGUGUGGUGGGGAAAUUGCAUCCUACAAAUUUUCCCAAGCUUGUAUGCUGUCAGCAUGUUAAUUUUGGAUCAGAAUUAAGAACUAUUUCAAUUUUUCAUCAGUCUCUAUUCUCAUUAUUUAAGAAGGUUAUACACAUAUUUAUCAAUCUUAUUGUAAAUAUUUGGUUGAUUUACAUUUAAUUUUGCAUUUAUAAUUCACCUCUGUAUUCUGAUUAUAAUUUUUAACUUGUAGGUAAGUGCUUCAGACUUUUGGGACUCCUGCUGGCAACCAAAAUCACAAUGCAAAUAAGCUGAAAAGGUUAGUCUUACAGUCUUCAUGUAGGUAAGCGA
rnacentral:misc_RNA from 1 species